GAGACAAGCAUAUGACUACUGGCAGGAUCAACCAGGUAGCGUUCCUUCGCGACGCCGAYGCCCGCACGACGCCCGACGGGCCGUGAGGCCGCGGGCUCGAGACGGGCACGGCAGUCGUUCGCGUCGAGGGACAAAAUGCGUUGCUCGGGCGAACGGAGCCUGUKGURACAGACCCYACGCCCGYGCYUAACGUUCCGCAUCCGAGAGAACGGGCAUAGCACACCGUGGGCCGAGGCAGCCAAGCGACUGGGCGAGGCCUGCCGGGAACACGGGGCGUGCCUAUCGUCCACCCCACAACCCGCGAGGGYUGGGGGCGGAGAGGGACDAACGGGACCGUCGGAUUCCUCUCGAUAGGUAAGCAACACAGGAUACCGAA
rnacentral:misc_RNA from 1 species